rnacentral:lncRNA from 1 species
CAUUUACACCCUCUUAAGCAGUGUACAUCUUACACUCUACCGUUUAGUUCAGGGUUAAGAAAAAACUAGUUAUUCCAGGGAUAGGAUUAAGUUUAGGGUUAAGGUGGGGUUAGAGUAUUUUUGUGUUUGGUUGGGGGUUAGAGUUAAGCCAGGAUAGUGAAAAAUAGUGUUUGGUUGGAGUAGGUUGGGAUAAGAAGGAUAGUAAAUUAUUAUGAAUAGAAAAUAGUGUUUGAUUGGGGUUUGGUGAGGUUAGGUGGGGUUAGCUAACCCGGAAUAACCCAUUUGGGGUGGGGUUAGCUGGGGUUAGCUAACCCCACCCAUUUUUAGAAGUGUUUGGGGAUAAAAUCAUCUAUUUUUAAAAGUGUUUGGGGAUAAAAUGGGGGUUAAGGGGUU